UAAUUUUAUUUAAAAUCAAAUUUAUCUCUCCUAUUCUCAUUCCAAUAUUUUUUCCUAAAAUUACUCUUUCCUUCUAAUAUGAAUUUCCAUUGGAAAAUUUUUGACAUUCUCCCUCCGAUGUUCUUCCACUUUUCGCAGAAUGGAUGAUUUCUCUCUAUCUAUGAGGAUUACAAGAGGUAUGCCAUUACAUGUCAAUGCUGUUGAUAAUCCAUCUACCUUCGUUUCAAUUGGGUUAACUCGGGAUUUUGGGGUCAAUCUAGGGUCCAUGACAAAAAAUAAACAAGUUCAAGUUGAACAAUCUAUUGAAGAAUUGAGAUCCAUAAAAAAAAUGGCCCAAUGAUAAUUCAUAAAGUCAUCAAUAAUGCGAAAUCUAGUGGCAUUAAGAUUGUUGAAGGUGGAAGUAAGAGAAAAGUCAUAAACAUUGAUUCAGUGUAUAUUGAAUCUGUGUCGUCAGAACUGGACAAAUCUGAAGAAUAUCGGGAAUAUCAUGUAGUGUUAUUUAUAUACAAAUUACAAAGUUAUGUAUAUAGUGGGUUGUGUAUUAAAGUAAUAUAUACAAAGUAUUAUGAGACAGUUCUUAAUUGUAAAUUCUAUUAGUUGUAUACCAAUUACUAAAGUUAGGUAUAUAGUAGGUUGUAUAUUAAGGUAACAUAUACAAAGUUUUACGAGGCAAUAGCUAUUUCUA